GAACGGUAGAUUCUAAAAAUAAGGAUGAGAAAACAGUAGUAUUUAUUAGGAUAAGGAAGAACUGGGGGCUUCGCGAUAUUUAAAGAGAUGGAACAUUUGAUUUGGCCAUUACAGGAAUUUCCUGGCAGAGGAGCCCUCUAACCUGGAGGAGCUUGAUAAACAUAAACAGAUGGGGGAAGGAACAGCCCUGCUACUGGAUGUUGCAAGCGGACUGACGGGCACGCAUGCAAAAAGGGGGGAGGUGAGAAUCGGCUGUUCCAUAUGAAGUAAAAGAAGGAAUGUAGAGGCAAAUCCCUGAAGAGGAAGAAAGAGUGUGUGCAGAAUAGAGCGAGUGGGCGAGAGGGUUCAGAUGAAUGCCAAGCAUUCGCCAAGACGCCAACCCAAGUCCUGUGUGAAGAUCUGGAGAUGUCAUAUCUUGCAAAUUGAUUUCAUUGUGGCCCAUUUUUUGUGAUAAAGUGUCAGAGCUACUGAAUGCAGCAGGUUCCUCCCGCCCUCGGUGAACUGCGCACUCCUCCUCUAGUCCUUACGGGUACCAGCGUCACCAUCUUGAACCUGUGCCCGGGUUCUGGUCCUUCUGAUCUUUAUGCUACAGUUAUUUUCUUGCUUGGGAAUGGUCAUAUAAUAUGUAUCAUUAUGGGUACACUUCCAGACACACCUAAUAAUAGACUCACAUGUGAGGAGAUGAGAUAAAGUCUUAUAUAGGGCAGGUUGCAUACAAACUUCUCAAGUUGAAAUGGAGAAAGAAGAACAGAUACAGAUGUCUAUAACCCACACUGAUGUAUAAACAGGAUGUUUUGACCCCAAACACAAAGGUUUGACCUCAUAACCUCUGUAAAGAGACGGUACCAGGCAGAGAGAGAGAGAAAGAGACAGGAGAGAGAUAGAUAUGACAUAGAUGUGCACAAAUACACACAUUCUCUUGUUACGAAUGAUGUCAGUUACAUGUUGUGAAAAGAAUAUGAAUAGACAUGUCCAUGAGUCUGUGUACAGGCGCGUGAAGCUGUAAAGACAUGUCCAUAUUUAGCUGUUGCUCCUAUGGAGAUUGUUACUAGAUAUGCUUUUUUUGGUUUUUGGAAAAUUAUGUAAUCAUGCUUUUCACAAACUGUUCUCCUGGAUCAUCCCGCCUAUGAGCUUUUAGUGGAAAUAGCAACAAGACACAGCCAAAGACAACAACAGCAGCCAUCAAGAUCAUAAUGAAACUAAAAAUACCAGUAGGUGUCAAAAAGUGAGCUAUUGCUUGCAAUGCGAAUUAUGUAACUCAAGACAAAUUGCUAUAAUCAAUCAAAGACGGGAAAUUACUGAUAAAAUUAUAUAUUCAGGGAUGAUUAUGUCAUU